UGUCCCUCAGGGUCGCACCUGGAAAGUUUCCAGUCCUCUACCAGUCUCGGCUACUGGAGAGAGAGUCAAGCAGAAGCAUACCCAUUCUAUUCCCAGCUUGGCCAGUGGCUAGUGAGUAGAACAUAAUCUGCUACAAGU